GAUCCCAGAGGUCACCACCCGACAGCGCGAUGCGCCCUCGGGUGUUGUUUGC
rfam:Bartonella tamiae Th239 genomic scaffold supercont1.1, whole genome shotgun sequence.